CUCCAACCCAUUGUGACCUUACCUAUGUUCUGUUGCCUCGGCGGCGUGGUCAGCGCCCCUCUGAAAAGAGGACGAUGCCCUCCCGCCGGCAGCACCAAACUCUUUGAAUUUUACAGCGGAUUACAGUUCUGAUUUGAAAACAAAAAAACAAGUUAAAACUUUCAACAACGGAUCUCUUGGUUCUGGCAUCGAUGAAGAACGCAGCGAAAUGCGAUAAGUAAUGUGAAUUGCAGAAUUCAGUGAAUCAUCGAAUCUUUGAACGCACAUUGCGCCCGGCAGUAAUCUGCCGGGCAUGCCUGUCCGAGCGUCAUUUCAACCCUCGAACCUCCGUUUCCUCAGGGAAGCUCAGGGUCGGUGUUGGGGCGCUACGGCGAGUCUUCGCGACCCUCCGUAGGCCCUGAAAUACAGUGGCGGUCCCGCCGCGGUUGCCUUCUGCGUAGUAAGUCUCUUUUGCAAGCUCGCAUUGGGUCCCGGCGGAGGCCUGCCGUCAAACCACCUAUAACUCCAGAUGGUUUGACCUCGGAUCAGGUAGGGUUACCCGCUGAACUUAAGCAUAUCAAUAAGCGGAGGGAAAAGAAA
rnacentral:rRNA from 1 species